GAGAAGAUAAGCUAAAAUAAGCUACUAGGCUCAUGACCCAGAAAUGAUUAAUAUCUCUUCUCC
rnacentral:tRNA from 1 species